GCCUCGUUGGCGUAGUGGUAGCGCGUUCCACUUGUAUGAAGUCUUUGAGUCAGUUGCCUUAUACAAUGGAAAGGUCACUCGUUCAAUCCGGGUACGAGGCA